AUCUAGCUGAUGAGUCCCAAAUAGGACGAAAUACGCGUCCUGGAU
rnacentral:hammerhead_ribozyme from 1 species